rnacentral:ncRNA from 1 species
ACAACUCAGGUCUGUGGUUGCAAGUCGAUGCCAGUUGCAGGCGAAACGAUCCACGUAAGCAGCAAAAUUUUGCUGUGAGCACGGUGCAGCUUAGAAGUAAGUCCUGCCGCAAAAAAAAUUAUGGGCGAGAGAGGUAGUAGUGGGGAGCGGAAUGCUUAGGAGCGAACCUUCCAGCAGGCGAGUGUGGGGGCGAAAACCAGGUCAGCUGAGUUGU